rnacentral:rRNA from 1 species
AUACGUAGGGUGCAAGCGUUAAUCGGAAUUACUGGGCGUAAAGCGUGCGCAGGCGGUUUUGUAAGACAGAGGGGGAAGUCCCGGGCUCCAACUGGGAACUGCCUUUGUGACUGCAAGGCGAGAGUACGGGAAAGGGGGAAGGAAUUUCGCGUUGAGCAGUGAAAUGCGUAGAUAUUCGGAGGAACACCGAUGGCGAAGGCAAUCCCCUGGGCCUGGACUGACGCUCAUGCACGAAAGCGUGGGGAGCAAACAGGAUUAGAUACCCUGGUAGUCCACGCCCUAAACGAUGUCAACUGGUUGUUUGGUCUUCAUUGACUCAGUAACGAAGCUAACGCGUGAAGUUGACCGCCUGGGGAGUACGGCCGCAAGGUUGAAACUCAAAUGAAUUGACGGGG